AGCGGAGGAAAAGAAACCAACAGGGAUUGCCCUAGUAACGGCGAGUGAAGCGGCAACAGCUCAAAUUUGAAAUCUGGCGCAAGCCCGAGUUGUAAUUUGGAGAGGAUGCUUCAGGGCAGCGGCCGGUCUAAGUUCCUUGGAACAGGACGUCAUAGAGGGUGAGAAUCCCGUAUGCGACCGGUUGGCACCCGUCACGUAGCUCCUUCGACGAGUCGAGUUGUUUGGGAAUGCAGCUCUAAAUGGGAGGUAAAUUUCUUCUAAAGCUAAAUAUUGGCCAGAGACCGAUAGCGCACAAGUAGAGUGAUCGAAAGAUGAAAAGCACUUUGGAAAGAGAGUUAAAAAGCACGUGAAAUUGUUGAAAGGGAAGCGCAUGCAAUCAGACUUGUCGGCGGUGUUCCGCCGGUCUUUUGACCGGUCUACUCGCCGCCGGCAGGCCAGCAUCAUCUGGGUGCGCCGGACAAAGGCGCGGGGAAUGUAGCUCCUCGGAGUGUUAUAGCCCCGCGCACAAUACGGCGCCGCCCGGGUGAGGUCCGCGCUUCGGCUAGGAUGCUGGCGUAAUGGUUGUAUGCGGCCCGUCUUGAAACACGGACCAAGGAGUCUAACAUCUAUGCGAGUGUUCGGGUGUCAAACCCCUACGCGGAAUGAAAGUGAACGGAGGUGGGAAGCGCAAGCUGCACCAUCGACCGAUCCUGAUGUCUUCGGAUGGAUUUGAGUAAGAGCAUAGCUGUUGGGACCCGAAAGAUGGUGAACUAUGCCUGAAUAGGGUGAAGCCAGAGGAAACUCUGGUGGAGGCUCGCAGCGGUUCUGACGUGCAAAUCGAUCGUCAAAUUUGGGUAUAGGGGCGAAAGACUAAUCGAACCAUCUAGUAGCUGGU
rnacentral:rRNA from 1 species